UCAGAAUCACUCGUCUUUAAGGCCCCCACCAUGGACGGUCGGCCAUGCUAGACUCGCCCUGUUGGGUUGAUGACUUUUCGCUUCUCGAUGAUGAAUCUCCUGCCAUUUCAUCGUCAUCCGUCCAUUUGCAUAGGGUGUAAGGGUCGGACGAAUCAUAUAAUCCAUGGUGCCUUCCACGGUUCAGGACACUCGAUUAACAGCUCCAAUCAGGAUCUCAAGAAGAUCCAGCGUCAUCGGCUCGCCCAACCCCGGCCUUGGGACUUCUCUCACUUCCAUUUCUGAUCCUCUUUUUAUUUUAUUUUUCUCCUGUUGAUUCGUUGGAUUCUUGAAGUUUCUGAAAAAGAAUUAGAAUAAAACAGGAAAGUCAAGCGAGUGGACGGGAUGAGGUACCUGCAAAUGCACAGGCAGGGCCUUCAUCAGGGAGGAAGCCGCGGAAGCCCCACAGGUUCAGGCUGGGGACUGUGGCUCUUUGGGAGAUACGGAAGUAUCAGUCCUGUGAGCUGUUGAUACCCACAGCUACUUUCAUUCGAUGCGUGGGUAAGGGAGCUAACUGCUUUCUAUUCUAGGGGAGUUAAUUAUUGGAUGGCUGAAGCUUUAGUAGCAAUCCAAGAUGCAGCUAAAGAUUAUUUGGUCCAUUUGUUCGAAGACGGAAUGAUUUGUGCCUUCUAGGCAAAACGUGUUACGCUUAGUAAGU